rnacentral:rRNA from 1 species
GACGAACGCUGGCGGCGUGCUUAACACACGCAAGUCGAACGGAAAGGCCCUGCUUUUGUGGGGUGCUCGAGUGGGGAACGGGUGAGUAACACGUGAGUAACCUGCCCUUGACUUUGGGAUAACUUCAGGAAACUGGGGCUAAUACCGGAUAGGAGCUCCUGCUGCAUGGUGGGGGUUGGAAAGUUUCGGCGGUUGGGGAUGGACUCGCGGCUUAUCAGCUUGUUGGUGGGGUAGUGGCUUACCAAGGCUUUGACGGGUAGCCGGCCUGAGAGGGUGACCGGCCACAUUGGGACUGAGAUACGGCCCAGACUCCUACGGGAGGCAGCAGUGGGGAAUAUUGCACAAUGGGCGGAAGCCUGAUGCAGCAACGCCGCGUGCGGGAUGACGGCCUUCGGGUUGUAAACCGCUUUCGCCUGUGACGAAGCGUGAGUGACGGUAAUGGGUAAAGAAGCACCGGCUAACUACGUG